rnacentral:rRNA from 1 species
UGAACGCUGGCGGCAUGCCUUACACAUGCACGUCGACCGGUAACAGGUCUUCGGAUGCUGACGAGUGGCGAACGGGUGAGUAAUACAUCGGAACGUGCCCAGACGUGGGGGAUAACGAGGCGAAAGCUUUGCUAAUACCGCAUACGAUCUAAGGAUGAAAGCAGGGGACCGCAAGGCCUUGUGCGUUUGGAGCGGCCGAUGGCAGAUUAGGUAGUUGGUGGGAUAAAAGCUUACCAAGCCGACGAUCUGUAGCUGGUCUGAGAGGACGACCAGCCACACUGGGACUGAGACACGGCCCAGACUCCUACGGGAGGCAGCAGUGGGGAAUUUUGGACAAUGGGCGAAAGCCUGAUCCAGCAAUGCCGCGUGCAGGAUGAAGGCCUUCGGGUUGUAAACUGCUUUUGUACGGAACGAAAAGGCUCUGGCUAAUACCUGGGGCACAUGACGGUACCGUAAGAAUAAGCACCGGCUAACUACGUG